UGUAACGGGGCUAAACCAUGCACCGAAGCUGCGGCAGCGAACGUAUCACUUAAAGCGAUUCAGCGGGUUACGAUUGACGGAGCGAAGCGACGUCAAAGCGUAUACAAAGUCGAGUCGGUUUAAGGAUACGUUCGUUGGGUAGGGGAGCGUUCUGUAAGCCUGUGAAGGUGGCCUGUGAGGGUUGCUGGAGGUAUCAGAAGUGCGAAUGCUGACAUAAGUAACGAUAAAGCGGGUGAAAAGCCCGCUCGCCGGAAGACCAAGGGUUCCUGUCCAACGUUAAUCGGGGCAGGGUGAGUCGACCCCUAAGGCGAGGCCGAAAGGCGUAGUCGAUGGGAAACGGGUUAAUAUUCCCGUACUUGGUGUUACUGCGAAGGGGGGACGGAGAAGGCUAUGUUGGCCGGGCGACGGUUGUCCCGGUUUAAGCGUGUAGGUGUGUGUUCCAGGUAAAUCCGGUUCACUUUAACACUGAGGCGUGAUGACGAGGCACUACGGUGCUGAAGCAACAAAUGCCCUGCUUCCAGGAAAAGCCUCUAAGCAUCAGGUAACAUCAAAUCGUACCCCAAACCGACACAGGUGGUCAGGUAGAGAAUACCAAGGCGCUUGAGAGAACUCGGGUGAAGGAACUAGGCAAAAUGGUGCCGUAACUUCGGGAGAAGGCACGCUGACACGUAGGUGAAGUGAUUUACUCACGGAGCUGAAGUCAGUCGAAGAUACCAGCUGGCUGCAACUGUUUAUUAAAAACACAGCACUGUGCAAACACGAAAGUGGACGUAUACGGUGUGACGCCUGCCCGGUGCCGGAAGGUUAAUUGAUGGGGUCAGCGCAAGCGAAGCUCCUGAUCGAAGCCCCGGUAAACGGCGGCCGUAACUAUAACGGUCCUAAGGUAGCGAAAUUCCUUGUCGGGUAAGUUCCGACCUGCACGAAUGGCGUAAUGAUGGCCAGGCUGUCUCCACCCGAGACUCAGUGAAAUUGAACUCGCUGUGAAGAUGCAGUGUACCCGCGGCAAGACGGAAAGACCCCGUGAACCUUUACUAUAGCUUGACACUGAACAUUGAGCCUUGAUGUGUAGGAUAGGUGGGAGGCUUUGAAGCGUGGACGCCAGUCUGCGUGGAGCCGACCUUGAAAUACCACCCUUUAAUGUUUGAUGUUCUAACGUGGACCCGUUA
rnacentral:rRNA from 1 species